CCUGGACAAGCUGCAGAGUUCCACAGCAAAGACUGGAGUAUCUGUACAUAGGACGACAAUAAGCCGUAUGCUCCAUAGAGUUGAGCUUUAUGGCAGAGUGGCCAGAAGAAAGCCAUUACUUUCAGCAAAAAACAAAAUGUAUGGAGGAAGGUGCUCUGGUCUGAUGAGACUAAAAUUGAACUUUUCGGCCAUCAAAGAAAACGCUAUGUCUCGCGCAAACCCGACACAUCACACCACUCAAAGAACACCAUGCCCACAGUGAAAC